rnacentral:pre_miRNA from 1 species
AUCUUGAGCAUACGUCAGUCGGCGAGUUCGGUUUUAGUUGUAUUUUAAAUUUAGUCGGUAUGACUAGAACCCACACUCGUCCGGUUGCUGUAUUCUAUUUC